rnacentral:rRNA from 1 species
ACUCCUGCGGGAGGCAGCAGUGGGGAAUAUUGGACAAUGGGCGCAAGCCUGAUCCAGCCAUGCCGCGUGAGUGAUGAAGGCCCUAGGGUUGUAAAGCUCUUUCACCGGUGAAGAUAAUGACGGUAACCGGAGAAGAAGCCCCGGCUAACUUCGUGCCAGCAGCCGCGGUAAUACGAAGGGGGCUAGCGUUGUUCGGAUUUACUGGGCGUAAAGCGCACGUAGGCGGACUAUUAAGUCAGGGGUGAAAUCCCGGGGCUCAACCCCGGAACUGCCUUUGAUACUGGUAGUCUUGAGUUCGAGAGAGGUGAGUGGAAUUCCGAGUGUAGAGGUGAAAUUCGUAGAUAUUCGGAGGAACACCAGUGGCGAAGGCGGCUCACUGGCUCGAUACUGACGCUGAGGUGCGAAAGCGUGGGGAGCAAACAGGAUUAGAAACCCUGGUAGUCC